UACGUAGGCAGCGAGCGUUGUUCGGAAUUACUGGGCGUAAAGCGUGUGUCGGCGGGUCUCCCAGUCUGUUGUGAAAUCUCCCGGCUUAACUGGGAGGGUGCAGCGGAAACUAGAGUGCUAGAGGGUGGGAGAGGUAAGCGGAAUUCCUGGUGUAGCGGUGAAAUGCGUAGAUAUCUGGAGGAACAUCAGUGGCGAAGGCGGCUUCCUGGUCCAACACUGACACUGAGGUGCGAAAGCGUGGGGAGCAAACAGG
rnacentral:rRNA from 1 species